AUUGAACGCUGGCGGCGGGCUUAACACAUGCAAGUCGAGCGGUAACAGAGAGUAGCUUGCUACUUUGCUGACGAGCGGCGGACGGGUGAGUAAUGCUUGGGAAUAUGCCUUAUGGUGGGGGACAACAGUUGGAAACGACUGCUAAUACCGCAUAAUGUCUACGGACCAAAGGGGGGGAUCUUCGGACCUCUCGCCAUUUGAUUAGCCCAAGUGAGAUUAGCUAGUUGGUGAGGUAAUGGCUCACCAAGGCGACGAUCUCUAGCUGGUUUGAGAGGAUGAUCAGCCACACUGGGACUGAGACACGGCCCAG
rnacentral:rRNA from 1 species